rnacentral:misc_RNA from 1 species
GAUGAAGAACGCAGCAAAAUGCGAUAAGUAAUGUGAAUUGCAGAAUUCAGCGAAUCAUCGAAUCUUUGAACGCACAUUGCGCCCGCUGGUAUUCCGGCGGGCAUGCCUGUUCGAGCGUCAUUUCAACCCUCAAGCCCCCGGGUUUGGUGUUGGGGAUCGGCUCUGCCCUUCUGGGCGGUGCCGCCCCCGAAAUACAUUGGCGGUCUCGCUGCAGCCUCCAUUGCGUAGUAGCUAACACCUCGCAACUGGAACGCGGCGCGGCCAUGCCGUAAAACCCCAACUUCUGAAUGUUGACCUCGGAUCAGGUAGGAAUACCCGCUGAACUUAAGCAUAUCAAUAAGCGGAGGA